CCUACGGGGUGCAGCAGUGGGGAAUAUUGGACAAUGGGCGAAAGCCUGAUCCAGCCAUGCCGCGUUUGUGAAGAAGGCCUUCGGGUUGUAAAGCACUUUCAGUGGGGAAGAAAGCCUUGGGGCUAAUACCCUCGAGGAAGGACAUCACCCACAGAAGAAGCACCGGCUAACUCCGUCCAGCAGCCGCGGUAAUACGGAGGGUGCGAGCGUUAAUCGGAAUUACUGGGCGUAAAGCGCGCGUAGGCGGUCUGAUAAGCCGGUUGUGAAAGCCCCGGGCUCAACCUGGGAACGGCAUCCGGAACUGUCAGGCUAGAGUGCAGGAGAGGAAGGUAGAAUUCCCGGUGUAGCGGUGAAAUGCGUAGAGAUCGGGAGGAAUACCAGUGGCGAAGGCGGCCUUCUGGACUGACACUGACGCUGAGGUGCGAAAGCGUGGGUAGCAAACAGGAUUAGAUACCCGGGUAGUC
rnacentral:rRNA from 1 species